AGGAAACAAACCAGUGAUUACUGGUGGGGGAAGGAGGGAGGGCACUGGGCUACCCGUGCAGGUCUGCAAGCCUUGUGGUUGCCCAGCCUCGAGAAAGAAGAAAGAGCCCGGAGAUAUUGACAGAGUCGUCAAAACAUGCAUUUGGUCUAACAUUUCUGAAGCAAAAGGUCCCAGAGCGACAUGCCCGCGUGUAAAGCAGCCAGGCCAGCAGACAGGUCAUGGCCGCCAUCUUUGCUACUCAGGGAAGAGGGCGGCUGCUAUUUAUAGAUGAAUGGACCAAUAGGUUGGCUCAUCGGUUACCAGGGAAACCAGCAGCUGGGGCAUAUCCCGCAGAGCCCCUUAGGUUAAGGAGCAUCAUGAGGGCAGGUGUUUCCUUUUAAUAAACUAGCAGGUGGAGCUGUUCUGGGCUAAGGAUUAGAACCAUCAGGAGCUGGGGCAGAGGGCAAGCACGUCCCUGUGCACAGGGGAUAGGUGAAGCAGAAGCUGACCGAGCAGGGGAGGAACACAGGGCAAGAGAGCAGCCGCCAUAAGUGGCCUGACCAUGCGUGCGUGCUACGCCCCUUCACUUGUGUCCAGCCCUUUGUAACACUACAGACUGCAGCCUGCCGCAUACUCCGCCUCAAACACCCUGCCUGACCCUUACAAUCUUGGUCCUCCCCUCUUCCGAGAUAUCCGUGGGAGGAGGACAACAGCGGCAUCUCACUGUAGAUCCAGCAAUCAAGCCACUGUCUCCUAGCCGCUCAGACUAGGGUGAAGUGGAAGGUGUUUACCAGGCGCAAUCCGGGGAAGAUCAAGACCAUUAAGGAAUACAAGCAGCAGCAGCAUGCUGAGCCAUGGAAACGUUCUUCUAAUGAAGAUGAAUGCAAAGCAAUGAGCGUCUUGGCAAACAUCAACAGAGUUGUUCACGGAAGUGAAAAACCCGGGUGGUGCUGAGUUCGGAGGAAUGUUUUAGAGAAUGCUGUGUCCAUGCCCUCAAGGGCUGUCUGAGGUCCAUGGGAAUUGCUUUUCUUGGACCCUUUCUACCCAAGGACCUGCAACCUCAUUGUCACAAGAACUUAAAGCAAGGCUCCAGGCAGGACAUUGUUGUCUGCACUCAUCUCUCUAAAAUUAAUGUAUGCCAGGACUCUGGCGGUCCUGUGGCCUUAGGGCCCAGGAAAACGGUCAUUAGGUGGCCUUAGGGCACAGGAAAAUGGUGUCCACCAGGUCCAUGCCAGAACCCUGGUGGUCCAGUGGUUAAGAAUCCACCUGCCAAUUCAGGGGACAUGGGUUUGAUCCUUGGUUGGGGAACUAAGAUCCCACAUGCUGUGGGGCAGUACCUAAGCCCAUGCACCACAACUACCGA